CUUCAAACGAGGAAAGGCUUACGGUGUAUACCUAAGCACCUAGAGACGAGGAAGGGUGUAAUAAGCAACAAAAUGUUUUAGGGAGUUAAAAAUAAGCGUAGAUCUGGAGAUUCCUGAAUAGGUCAACCUUUCAAACUGCUGUUGAAUCCAUGGGCAGGUAAGAGACAACGUAAUGAACUGAAACAUCUUAAUAACUAGAGGAAAAAAAAGUAAAAGCGAUUCUCGUAAUAGCGACGAACGAAAUGGGAGCAGCCUAAAUCUUGAAAAAGGGAUUGUAGGAGAGCAAUACAAGCAUUGUGUUGCUAGGCGAAGGGUGGAGUGUUACACCCUAGAUGGCGAGAGUCUAGUAGCCGAAAGCAUUACUAGUUUACGCUCUAACUCGAGUAGCAUAAGGCAAGUGGAAUCCCGUGUGAAUCAGCAAGGACCACCUUGCAAGGCUAAAUACUCCUGGGGUGACCGAUAGGGAAGUAUUACUGUGAAGGAAGAGUGAAAAUAACCCCCAUCGGGGAGUAAAUAGAACAUGAAAUCGUAAGCUCCCAAGCAGUGGGAAGAGCCCGAGCUCUGAUUGCGUGCCUGUUGAAGAAUGAGCCAGCGACUCAUAGGCAGUGACUUGGUUAAGGGAACCCACCAGAGUUGAAGUGAAAGCAAGUCUUCAUAUGACAACUAUCACUGCUUAUGGAUCCGAACCUAGGUGAUCUAUCCAUGACCAGGAUGAAGCUAAAGUGAAACUAAGUGAAGCUCUGAACCGAUUGCUGUUGAAGAACUAGUGGAUGAAUUGUGGUUAGAGGUGAAAUGCCACUCGAACCUAAAGCUAGCUAGUUCUUCCCGAAAUGCCUUGAGGCGCAACAUUUGAUUGAACAUCUAAAGGUAAAGCACUGUUUUGGUGCGGGCCAUGAGAGCAAUACCAAAUCGAGGCAAACUUUGAAUACUAGAUAUGACCUCAAAAUAAUAGGGGUCAAGGUCGACCAGUGAGACGAUGGGGGAUAAGCUUCAUCUUCGAGAAGGAAAUAGUCCAGAUCACAGGCUAAAAAGGAAUUGUUUUAUUUAUAAACUUGUAAACUUCACCUUCAACAAGCAUAAAGUUAUUUCAAAUCUUUCUAUCCCGACUAAUGUGUCUUUCUCCUAAGACUUGAAGCGGUAAAUAAAAAAAAUUAAAUCACACCAUCUUUGUAAUAAGUAAAUGCAUAUUCUUCUCUUAAAGUUAUUGGAAUUAUUCAUAAUAAGAUAUUGGCUACAAUUGAAAAGGUCUUAUCAAUAAAAAUUUCUAGUUAUUCGGAAUCUAGGCAUAAGUAGCAAUCCAUUUUAUAAUUUCUUUUAAUUACCUCUAUGAGGAAAGGAUCCCAUAAAAAAGUAGUUGUACAGUACAAAAUAGUAUAAAAACAUAUCGUUCCAAUCCAAUGAUUAAAACCGGUAUAGAUAUCAAAAAAAGAAAAAAGGGCCAUUUUUACAAAAUUCACAAACACGAAUAGAUUCAUAUCUUUAUUGCUUUUUAAAAAGAGUUUUUCAUAAAAACAAAAAAAAAAAUCUUUAUCCUCCAAUUUCGAAGGAAAGUUCUUUAUUUUAUUAAAAUUUUCUAUUUUUAUUGGUUAGAAUUGAUUUUACGUACCAUGCCUAUUCAAUAAUCUAAUAUGAAUGACUCGUGAUUCACUCGGGUUCGAGGCUAUAGUCAUUAUGUAGGAGAGAUGGCCGAGUGGUUCAAGGUGUAGCAUUGAAAUUGCUAUGUAGGUUUUUAUUUAUCGAGGGUUCAAAUCCCUCUCUUUCCGUACCUUCACCUAAUUUAUCAAUGUUACUAACCGAAAUGUAUCAAAUCUCAUAAUAAUUGAUACCUUUAUUCCAAUAGUUAGAUCUUUUCUUGAUAUGGAUUCUCUAUUCCUAAUUUCUAUAGUAUAAAAAAUAUUGGAAAAAAUUAUAUCCCUAUAUAUCUAUGAUAUAUGAAUGGGAGAAAACCCCAUGAUCAAACCAAACCCUUACUUUCUUUUUUUUUUUUCUUUAAUUAGGCGAUAGGGAGCAAAAUUAUCCAAAUCCUUAUUAUUUUAGUUAGAGUUAAGUCCGACGAGAAUAAUAUUCUACUACUAGCAAUUCAUUUAUUAUCUAUUAUUUGAUUGACUAAUUCUUUAUAUUAAAAUGGGUCAAGAGUCAAAUAUUUUGGCAAUUCCUCUUGGGAGGAUGACUUAAGAUAAUUUUGAAUCAUAGCUCUGGAUUUUUGUUCAUCCAUCACUGUAAUAAUAUCUAAGA
rnacentral:ncRNA from 1 species